GACGUAGGUGGCGAACGUUAUCCGGAAUCAUUGGGCGUAAAGGGUGCGUAGAUGGCAUGAUAAGUUACUAGUGGGAAAUCGAGGCUCAACCUCGUGGAAGCUAGUAAUACUGUUUUGCUUGAGUACAGAAGAGGUUAACGGAACUCCAUGUGGAGCGGUAAAAUGCGUAGAUAUAUGGAAGAACACCAAUAACGGCGAAGGCAGUUAACUAUUCUGUUACUGACAUUGAGGCACGAAAGCGUGGGGAGCAAAACGG
rnacentral:rRNA from 1 species